rnacentral:rRNA from 1 species
GGUCUGAGGUGAGCUCGCGUCCUAUUAGGUAGUUGGUGAGGUGACGGCCCACCAAGCCUACGAUAGGUAGCCGACCUGAGAGGGUGAUCGGCCACACUGGAACUGAGACACGGUCCAGACUCCUACGGGAGGCAGCAGUGGGGAAUAUUGGGCAAUGGGCGAAAGCCUGACCCAGCAACGCCGCGUGAGUGAAGAAGGUCUUCGGAUUGUAAAUCUCUGUCCUAAGAGAAGAGGGGAAGACGGUAUCUUAGGAGGAAGCCCCGGCUAACUACGUGCCAGCAGCCGCGGUAAUACGUAGGGGGCGAGCGUUGUCCGGAAUGAUUGGGCGUAAAGGGCGUGUAGGCGGCCUGUUAAGUCUGGAGUGAAAGUCCUGUUUUCAAGAUGGGAAUUGCUUUGGAUACUGGCGGGCUUGAGUGCAGGAGAGGUUAUCGGAAUUCCCGGUGUAGCGGUGAAAUGCGUAGAGAUCGGGAGGAACACCAGUGGCGAAGGCGGGUAACUGGACUGCAACUGACGCUGAGGCGCGAAAGUGUGGGGAGCAAACAGGAUUAGAUACCCUGGUAGUCCACACUGUAAACGAUGAAUGCUAGGUGUAGGGGGUAUCGACCCCUUCUGUGCCGCAGUAAAACACAAUAAGGCAUUCCGCCUGGGGAGUACGGCCGCAAGGUUGAAACUCAAAGGGAUUUGACGGGGGGCCCGCACA